GCUGGGUGUGGUGGCGGGCACCUGUAAUCCCAGCUACUUGGGAGGCUGAGGCAUGAGAAUCACUUGAACCCAGGAGGCGGAGGUUGCAGUGAGCUGAGAUUGUGCCAUUGCAGUCCAGCCUGGGCAACAAAGUGAGACUCUGUCUCAA
ensembl:misc_RNA Metazoa_SRP Metazoan signal recognition particle RNA